CUAGUUGGUAAGGUAAUGGCUUACCAAGGCUACGAUGUUUAGGGGAUCUGAGAGGAUGACCCCCCACACUGGUACUGAGACACGGACCAGACUCCUACGGGAGGCAGCAGUAAGGAAUAUUGGUCAAUGGGCGGAAGCCUGAACCAGCCAUGCCGCGUGCAGGAAGACGGCCCUACGGGUUGUAAACUGCUUUUGUACCGGAAUAAACCCUGAUUCGUGAAUCAGGCUGAAUGUACGGUAAGAAUAAGGAUCGGCUAACUCCGUGCCAGCAGCCGCGGUAAUACGGAGGAUCCAAGCGUUAUCCGGAUUUAUUGGGUUUAAAGGGUGCGUAGGCGGCCUGUUAAGUCAGGGGUGAAAGACGGUAGCUCAACUAUCGCAGUGCCCUUGAUACUGAUGGGCUUGAAUGUACUAGAGGUAGGCGGAAUGUGACAAGUAGCGGUGAAAUGCAUAGAUAUGUCACAGAACACCAAUUGCGAAGGCAGCUUACUAUGGUAUGAUUGACGCUGAGGCACGAAAGCGUGGGGAUCAAACAGGAUUAGAUACCCUGGUAGUCCACGCCCUAAACGAUGAAUACUCGAUGUUAGCGAUAUACAGUUAGCGUCAAAGCGAAAGCGUUAAGUAUUCCACCUGGGGAGUACGCCCGCAAGGGUGAAACUCAAAGGAAUUGACG
rnacentral:rRNA from 1 species